AUGGCGCGGCGGGGCACGGAGGCGUUCCCGGACCUGGGCGCGCACUGCGACAGGGAGGACUGCAACCAGCUCGACUUCCUGCCCUUCGACUGCAACGGCUGCGGCAAGGUGUUCUGCACGGAGCACCGCGCGUACGUUGACCACGGCUGCCCGCUCGCGGCCGACAACGGCCGCACCGUCGUCGUCUGCGAGGCCUGCGGCGACUCCAUCGAGCGCGCCGGGUCGGACGAGACGGAUGCGCAGAUCCUCGAGAAGCACGCGCGGUCGCGCCGGGGCUGCGACCCGGCCAGGAAGCUCAAGCCGCGAUGCCCCGCGCGGCGCUGCAAGGAGACACUCACCUUCUCCAACACGAGCCACUGCAAGGAGUGCGGGCAGAAGCUGUGCCUCAAGCACCGGUUCCCCGAGGACCACGGGUGCUCGCGCGUGUCGCCGGUGGGGGCCGCCGCCGCCGCGAGGAGGGCCGGCGACUGCGGCCGCGACGCGCAGAAGACAAAGGACGGCGGUGGGUGGGCGCUGCCGCCGUUGAUCCGGAAUUUCAAUUGA
rnacentral:rRNA from 1 species